rnacentral:rRNA from 1 species
GACGAACGCUGGCGGCGUGCUUAACACAUGCAAGUCGAACGGAAAGGCCCUGCUUUUGUGGGGUGCUCGAGUGGCGAACGGGUGAGUAACACGUGAGUAACCUGCCCUUGACUGUGGGAUAACUUCAGGAAACUUGGGCUCAUACCGGAUAGGAUCUCCUGCUGCAUGGUGGGGGCUGGAAAGUUUCGGCGGUUGGGGAUGGAAUCGCGGCUUAUCAGCUUGAUGGUGGGGUAGUGGCUUACCAAGGCUUUGACGGGUAGCAGGCCUGAGAGGGUGACCGGACACAUUGCGACUGAGAUACGGCCCAGACUCGUACGGGAGGCAGCAGUGGGGAAUAUUACACAAUGGGCGGAAGCCUGAUGCAGCAACGCCGCGUGCGGGAUGACGGCCUUCGGGUUGUAAACCGCUUCCGCCUGUGACGAAGCGUGAGUGACGGUAACGGGUAAAGAAGCACCGGCUAACUACGUG